UACAGAGGUCUCAAGCGUUGUCCGGAAUCAUUGGGCGUAAAGAGCGUGUAGGCGGCCACUUAAGUCCUGCGUGAAAUCUUGCGGCUCAACCGCAAGCGGUCGUGGGAAACUGGGUGGCUAGAGUGCGGGAGAGGAGAGUGGAAUUUCUGGUGUAGCGGUGGAAUGCGCAGAUAUCAGGAGGAACACCAAUAGCGAAGGCAGCUCGCUGGGACGGUAUUGACGCUAAGGCGCGAAAGCGUGGGGAGCAAACAGG
rnacentral:rRNA from 1 species